GAUGAACGCUGGCGGCGUGCCUAAUACAUGCAAGUCGAGCGGACGAACGAGGCUCUUUCCUCUUUUCCGUUACCGGCGGGCGAGUAAUUCACACGUGGCUACCUUACCUAUAAGACUGAGAUACGUUCGGGAACCCUGAUAUAACAUCCGUUAAGAUGUUGAACCUCGUGGUUCUUCGGACCACACCCUUCUUGCUGACCCUAAUUGAGGUUACCUCGCCGCAUUAGCUAGUUGGUAAGGUAACGGCUUACCAAGGCAACGAUGCGUAGCCGAUCUGAGAGGGUGAUCAGCCACACUGGAACUGAGACACGGUCCAGACUCCUACGGGAGGCAGCAGUAGGGAAUAUUGCGCAAUGGGCGAAAGCCUGACGGAGCAACGCCGCGUGAGUGAAGAAGGUCUUCGGAUCGUAAAGCACUGUAAGUAGGGAGGAACGAAAGUGAAAGAAAACAUGGACGUCUUGACGUUACCAAAAGAAAAAGCAACGGCUAACUACGUG
rnacentral:rRNA from 1 species